GGGGGUGCCCCAGACGUGAAAACUUUACAAUCCUGGAAACAGCGAUAGGCGGACGUCGAGUUUCAGGAUUCAAUCAUGGCAGUGGUCGUGUUUAAAAAACACAAUAUAGCAAGGGCCGGUCAAGACCGGUUCCAACCGCCGCGGUAUCUCAUGCGGCUCGAGCGGUAAGCUCUAUUACUGGGUCGAAAGGGUCUGUAGCCGGAUGAACAAUUCUCUUGGGAAAUCCGUCCAGUAAAACAUCGGGUCUUCCGGAGACACUAAUUGCCUCUAGCCUGGGAGAGGUGAGAGGCACUUCAUGUGUACGGGAAAACAUCUCGUAAUCACGUGAAGGACCUUCCACGAGGAGAAGGCGUCUCCCCAGAACAGGAUCUGUCGGCAACGAGAAAAAAACGGUGGCGCACGAACCGGAUUAGAUACCCGGGUAGUCGUACACCGUAUAACGAUCCGCGCUAGGUGUCGCACACACGGUGUGGCCGUCGUCACAGCCGUAGGGAAGCCGUGAAGCUAGCCACCUCGGAAGUACGGCCGCAAGGGUGAA
rnacentral:rRNA from 1 species